GACCAUUCGGUCUAGGGAUAUGAUAUUUGUUUUCCAUUGAAUCAUAAUGUUUACAAAGGGCCCUGGGUUCAAUUCCCAGAAUGUCUA